UACGUGAGGGGCGAACGUUGUUCGGUGUCACUGGGCUUAAAGGGUGCGUAGGUGGUUGCGUAAGUAAGGUGUGAAAUCCCUCGGCUUACCCGGGGAAUUGCAUUUUAUACUGCGUGGCUUGAGGACUAAAGGGGAAAAGGGAAGCUCCAGGUGUAGCGGUGAAAUGCGCAGAUAUCUGGGGGAAGGCCGGCGGCGAAGGCGCUUUUCUGGUUAGUACCUGACACUGAGGCACGAAAGCGUGGGAGCA
rnacentral:rRNA from 1 species